rnacentral:rRNA from 1 species
CUCAAAUCAGGUAGGACUACCCGCUGAACUUAAGCAUAUCAAUAAGCGGAGGAAAAGAAACUAACAAGGAUUCCCCUAGUAACGGCGAGUGAAGCGGGAUGAGCUCAAAUUUAAAAUCUGGCGGUCUCAGAUCGUCCGAGUUGUAGUCUAGACAAGCGUCUUCUCGUG